rnacentral:rRNA from 1 species
UACGUAGGGUGCGAGCGUUGUCCGGAAUUAUUGGGCGUAAAGAGCUCGUAGGCGGUGUGUCACGUCGUUCGUGAAAACCUGCAGCUUAACUGUGGGCGUGCGGUCGAUACGGGCAGACUGGAGUACUGCAGGGGAGACUGGAAUUCCUGGUGUAGCGGUGGAAUGCGCAGAUAUCAGGAGGAACACCAGUGGCGAAGGCGAGUCCCUGGACAACUCCUGACACUGAGGCACGAAAGCUAGGGGAGCAAACAGG